rnacentral:misc_RNA from 1 species
GCUUUAUCCAGUACAAGAGCAAUCUUUUGCGCAGAUUGAGGCCUUCGUCUUGGCUCAGGACAGCCUUGUGGAACAGCUCCAUCAAGCGCUCUCAGUGAGUUUACAAUCAAUCCUAAGAGCUCCUCAGAUUGUUCUGGCCACUUGGUCUUAGAGCAAAGGGAAGCAUUUUCCAAAGAUGCUCCAGCUGUUGUUACUGGUGGAUAAAU